AAAAAAAAAAAAAAAAAAAUUGUUAACCUCGGAGCACAGCACAGGUGCAAUUUGGUUAAUUUGCUAAAACAUUGAAAAUGCUAAAAGAAGGCCUACAAAAUGAAACUAUGAUAAUCCUACUGGAAAUUAACAAAUAUAGUAAUCCAUUUAGUAAACUAGUAGAUAGUCAUUGUCAAUUUGUGAUGAUACAGACAAUGCUAUUUUGGAAUUAAAUUGUGUCCCCUAAUAUUUACAUGGAUAAAGUAACCAUUGAGGAAGAUUGUUUAGGGUAUAGCUCUUUUCAUUUCUUCUUCUUGCAGCAUUGGUUUAUUAUUAUUUUAUUAUACAUUCUCAGCACUUGUCAAAUAUGGAUUUUAAUUGUCAUUUCCAUCAAAUAAUGCAGGUCCACACAUUCAAGAAAGCAUGU
rnacentral:misc_RNA from 1 species